rnacentral:rRNA from 1 species
UUGACCUCAGAUCAAGUAGGAAGACCGCCUGAACUUAAGCAUAUCAAUAAGGCGAGGAACAGAAACCAACCGGGAUUCCCCCAGUAGUGGCGAAUGAAGCGGGAAAAGCUCAAGUUUGAAAUCUGACGUGAGUCAGAGUUGUAAGCUGAAGAGGCUUCNACCGAUGUGGCUCGGGCUCAAUUCCCUUGGGAUAGGGAGUCGUGGAGGGUGAGAACCCCGUUCUUGGCCCUGUGGCCUUCAUCCUUGUGUCGUUUCCUCNAAGAGUCGGGUUGUUUGGGAAUGCAGCUCAAAAUGGGUGGUAAAUUUCAUCUAAAGCUAAAUAUUGGCGAGAGACCGAUAGCAAACAAGUAGAGUAAUCGAAAGAUGAAAAGUACUUUGAAAAGAGAGUGAAACAGUGCGUGAAAUUGUUGAAAGGGAACCGUUUGGUAUCAGCCCAUGGCCGUCCCCGAUCACCCGGGCUUCUG